AAAAGAAAAGGCUGUCAGCUUAGCCAAGGAGACUGCCUGGCAACCAAACAGUAGAGCUUUUCUAUAGCUACUCGAAACCCUCUUGCAUGGCGCAGGCAAGUCAUCCUUGGCUAAAAAACAUUUCUCCUCUCU
rfam:Citrus sinensis cultivar Ridge Pineapple sweet orange scaffold04340_contig_1, whole genome shotgun sequence.